CUAUGCGCCUUGCCAGCCCGCUCAGUCAGAGUUUGAUCCUGGCUCAGGACGAACGCUGGCGGCACGCUUAACACAUGCAAGUCGAACGGAGAAUUUUGAUUUAUUGAAAUUCUUAGUGGCGGACGGGUGAGUAACACGUGAGCAACCUGCCUCUGAGAGAGGAAUAAUUUCUGGAAACGGAUUGUAAUACCUCAUAAUAUACAUUUGUCGCAUGACAGGUGUAUCAAAGAUUAAUCACUCAGAGAUGGGCUCGCGUCUGAUUAGAUAGUUGGUGAGGUAACGGCUCACCAAGUCAACGAUCAGUAGCCGGACUGAGAGGUUGAACGGCCACAUUGGGACUGAGACACGGCCCAG
rnacentral:rRNA from 1 species